UAUUUAUAUGUGUUUUUAUAUUUGCAUAGUACAAGCAAUGGAAAAAAUGGAACUAGAUGAAAUUUUGGAUGUAGAAGACGAUAAUUUGCAAAUUAAAUCGGACGACGAUGUACUCUAUUGUUCUUCAUCUAUUUUAAAUACGCCCCGGCACGAGAAGUGUAUGGAUGAUGAUGCUAGUGAUUCUGAUGAUGAUGAUGGCAUGAAUAUAACAUUACUUUCGAAACCACCAGUGGAUAUGACUUCUCUGUCCAGGCAGGACCAAAAAGGAACUAGACUGAGCGGAGAUAAAACCAUUAUCCCCAGUAUAGUUCCUUGGGUAGGAGCAGAACUGGUUGCGGUUGAUCCCGCAACCAGUAACUCUAAUUGGAUUCUUUCCCAUGAGCGCUGAUGACAGCAAUGAAGAAAUUCUUGCUCUUCUAGAAGCUCAAAAUGAGGGACUAGUAGUUGACAGCUGGAAGAUUUUUCUGAGGAAGGUAAUAAACAAGCGACAUGUAGAACUUACCUUCAGCGUAGAUGGAACAUCGUUGAGAGCUCUCAACAAAUGCGAAUUUGUCCUUGACUUCAAAUUUGAGAACGCUCCUAUCAGGAAGAAAAAUCCUAAAAAGUCACAGGAGGAAAAGAUGGACGUUGACCAAAACUCGGAGGCUACCCGUAUUAUUGUACGGACCCAAGUAUCAGGUGACAGAAAAGCGGCAAGACUCGCUACUAACGAAGUCCCUGGAACAAGUGGAGUCAUUAAUGCGGUAAGGACUCUACACAAUAAUAAUGAGGCCAACAGUAUCAGGACUCGUGAUGAAACUGGAGACGAUAUAGUGGGUGGAAACAACACUAAUCAAAAUGUCCCAGGGCGGAUCGAUGUCCAGAAUACUGAAAAGACUCAUUCGAAAAACAAGCGUAACAAAGAUGACUUUCCAACAGGCAACAACGACUGCGGAAUAGUCACUGGAAAUCUUGAAAAUGAUAAUUGACAUGGCCAUCACAUCCAACAUCAAUCACAGCAUCAAAUUUAUCCAAGCAAAUCUCCAUCAUGCAAAGGGGGCUAGCGCAGUACUUUGCAAGAGAUUCGCUAAAAGCAAACUGGAUAUUGCUUUCAUCCAGGAGCCAUGGUCGUAUAAUGGAAAAAUACUGGGUCUUGACAUUAAAUCGUAAUUUAUUAAACUUGAUAUUGUGGCGGUAGCUAUACAAAUCUCCACCACACGUGGUAAAACUGAAAUCUACAUAGCUUCGGCAUAUUUUCCUGGAGACAUAGAUGAGGCGCCUCCACCAGAAGCUUCAGCAUUCGUGUCAUUCUGUAAAAAUCAGAACAAAGCAUUCAUCAUAGGUUGCGACGCAAACGCACAUCAUACAGUAUGGAGCAGUAACGAUAUGAACAAAAGAGAUCAGUAUUGGAAACGUGGUGCUAAAGGCGCAUCGCAAGCAAUUGAAGGUCCCAAAAACAACUAGUGUAAGGCAUAAUUUGACUGUUCCGUGCAGGAGGACCUGCAAACGUGAAAGAUCCACUUCAGGUUGCGAGUUCUUUGGUUUCUCUGACGAUGUAUUACGACCUUAAGAGAUUGCGGAUGGAUGAUGGUACUAAUAGCGCAGCAGGAUCAUCGGCUCCGAGACGGUCAGAAAGAAUUAAGUACAGAAGAGAGAACAUGAAGGUAAAACAAAAACAAAAAUUAAAAUUAAAAAGCUAAACUGAAUGAUUUUGGUGAUGGGUGUCAAAGGACACAAAUGAAAAUAAAAUAAAAAUAAAAUUAAUUGUUAAUGAAAAGAUAUAGGUGUCAACGGGCACUAUCUGAAAAUAAAAAUAAAUUGGUUAGAAAAAGAUAUCGGUGUCAAUGGACGCUAUCUGAAAAAUAAAAAUUAAAAUAAUUAAACAAUAUAUCUAUUAGCAUAUUUUACAAAAAAAAAAUAUUGUAUUAUAAAUAAGAGUGUCA